rnacentral:rRNA from 1 species
UCAGCUCGUGUCGUGAGAUGUUGGGUUAAGUCCCGCAACGAGCGCAACCCUUAAGCUUAGUUGCCAUCAUUAAGUUGGGCACUCUAAGUUGACUGCCGGUGACAAACCGGAGGAAGGUGGGGAUGACGUCAAAUCAUCAUGCCCCUUAUGAUUUGGGCUACACACGUGCUACAAUGGACAAUACAAAGGGCAGCGAAACCGCGAGGUCAAGCAAAUCCCAUAAAGUUGUUCUCAGUUCGGAUUGUAGUCUGCAACUCGACUACAUGAAGCUGGAAUCGCUAGUAAUCGUAGAUCAGCAUGCUACGGUGAAUACGUUCCCGGGUCUUGUACACACCGCCCGUCACACCACGAGAGUUUGUAACACCCGAAGCCGGUGGAGUAACCUUUUAGGAGCUAGCCGUCGAAGGUGGGACAAAUGAUUGGGGUGAAGUCGUAACAAGGUAGCCGUAUCGGAAGGUGCGGCUGGAUCACCUCCUUUCUA